rnacentral:rRNA from 1 species
GUUGUAUAGUUAAGUGACUAAGCGUACAAGGUGGAUGCCUUGGCAAUCAGAGGCGAUGAAGGACGUGCUAAUCUGCGAAAAGCUUGGAUGAGUCGAUAAGAGGCGUUUAAUCCAAGAUGUCCGAAUGGGGAAACCCAGUAGAUGAAGAAUCUACUAUCACUUACUGAAUACAUAGGUAAGUGAGGCAAACCGGGAGAACUGAAACAUCUAAGUAC